rnacentral:rRNA from 1 species
UACGUAGGAUGCGAGCGUUGUCCGGAAUCACUGGGUGUAAAGGGAGCGCAGGCGGUUCGGCAAGUCAUUGGUGAAAUUCUCAGGCUCAACCUGGGGGCUGCCACUGAUACUGCCGAUCUUGAGUGUGGAAGAGGCAGAUGGAAUUCCUGGUGUAGCGGUGAAAUGCGUAGAUAUCAGGAAGAACACCGAUGGCGAAGGCAGUCUACUGGUCCAUUACUGACGCUCAUGCUCGAAAGCGUGGGGAUCAAAC